GCCUGGUGUGCUGCGGUCCAUGGCGUCGCAAAGAGUCAGACAUGACUGAGUGACGGAACUGAACUGAACAAACGAAACCCCAUGUCCUUGGCCUUCGCUUGUGCCCCUUUUCCAAGUAAACCCUAAGGGACUAAAUCUUGACUUUAUAUCUUUCAAGAACCCUCCUGUGACAACUUGGACACUUCAAUCUUCCAGGCAGUGUUAGAGCCCCUUCCAAGGCGGUAUAUUCUGUUGAUUUUGUACUGCCUCCUAGUUUAGACUUGAAGCUCUUGGACGCAGAGGAAAGAUAUUCUGCCCUGAAAGAUGUGGAGGACAGCUCCCUACGUCUUAAGUGUAAGGAGCACAUGGUGACUUUCUUCCAAAGAGGGAAAAAAGGGGUAACUUUACAGCGGAGAAACACCACCUCAGCCUGGUCAUCAAGGUCGAUAUCAACAGUGGUCCUGGUCUGUCAAGACCAUAACAAGUGGCGCCUAAAGAGGGACUGAGAGUACGCCCUUGGCAAGCGGAUGGAGUGACUGUGGACCUACUGAGUGGGGCACUAUGCAUGGAAAGCAUAGACAAGGAGAUGCGGCUAUUGGUGAGUCAAAUCACAACUUGGAUGGCCACUUACCUAAAUGACCACCUAGAGCCUUGGAUUCAGGAUAACGGUGGCUGGGACACUUUUGUGGAACUCUACGGAAACAAUACAGCAACUGAGAGGCCAGAGGGCCAAGAGCACUUCAACCGCUGGUCCCUGACGGGCAUCACUGUGACUGGUAUGGCUCUGCUGGGCUUGCUCGUCAACUCAUAGUAACUAUUCCUUUCAUUAUAGUCAUUCACAUUUUAUACAAGCUUUUGUUCCUCUUCCUUUUGUUACAGCUAUAGAGAACUUACAAUUUAAUAAGACUCUACCUUUUGUGACUUGUAUAGAUUACAAAUUGUAUACUUGUCUUGAUUCCUCUGUUUCUUUGAAAAAUGAAUCCCUGGAAAGAGGGUCGCAUGGCUACACACUAAAUUACUCUGGUGAUCUAAAUGAUUCAUUGGAUGGUUAAUUCUUGGCAUUUUGGGAUUAAUAGUCAUUUGCACCACUGCUGCUGUCACAGACAUUGCUUUACAAACCUCAGUUCAAACACAUAAUUUUAUUCAAAAUUAGAUCAAAGAUGCUCAUACUAUGUGGACCACUCAGGCUCAGAUAGAUGAGGAAGUUCAAGGUGAAAUACAGAAACUAAAAACAGCCAUCAAAUGGGUCGGAGAUCAAUUAACAGAUUUACAAAAACAAAUAGUACUAAAAUGUGAUUGGAAUUCUACUCAAUUUUGUAUUACCCCUGUUCAAUUCAACUAUAGUGCCUACAACAGGGAAAAAAUCAAAUUUCAUUUG